CCUGUACAUGCUAGCUGACAUGUUCAUGCGCUUUUACACAGCAACCCACAUGUAAACAUGCUUCCAAGCACCAGAACAUGAUUGCGCAUGAAUACUGCCUCUACCAUCUGCACAUAAGGCACCCAAGAAAUCUGGGUUUGUGGGGGUGUCCAGGUGUGUGGGUGGGGAUCUGAUCUUUUUCUGAAGCAGCUUCAAAGUGUCUUGUUAACAAAGGGACAGAAUGGUACCAGGGUUCCUUCCUCCUUCCAGCCAGGAGCUCAGAAUGGGAGUGGGCUGGGAGUGAUGUGGGGGCUCAAGCUCCUAGCUCCUGAAGGCCCUGCUUCUAUGUCCUUCGGGUUCAGUCCAGAUGGGAGCUGGCUCCUUCAGAAAGGGGGCUCAGAUCAGGGUGUGGGGAGCCACCUCUCUCUGCCUCCCCCCACCACAUCUGCCUACAGGGCUGGGAGCCCCCACGGUCCUUGGGCUGGGAUGGAAGGGGUUCACUGGACAUCAUGAAGUUGCCCUCUAGGGAAGAAGAGCAGCAUCCCAGGAGGUUUGAGGGCCCAGAGAUAAUCUUCUGACUGUUCCCUCCUGUGCCCCAAUAACUGUUUUGGAGCCUGGGAGCAGUGGACUAUACACAGAGGUACUGGGAGGAAAAACUCUGGUCUUGAUAUUUUCUUUUUAUUUCCCCUUUUUGAAUUAAAAACUUGUAUAUGUACAUGGGGAUGGGGGUGGGGGCUGCCUCUUGGGUGGGGAAAAAGUGCACCCAUUCCAAGGUGCCCUUGCUUCGUUGCAACUGAUCCCCCAGGUUGUCUGAGGAAAUAUUGGUUACUACAGGCAUGGGACAA
rnacentral:lncRNA from 1 species